rnacentral:piRNA from 1 species
UAAUUGGUUGUGACAUUUUUA